UACGGGGGGGGGCAAGCGUUGUUCGGAAUUACUGGGCGUAAAGGGCUCGUAGGCGGCCAACUAAGUCAGACGUGAAAUCCCUCGGCUUAACCGGGGAACUGCGUCUGAUACUGGAUGGCUUGAGUUUGGGAGGAGGAUGCGGAAUUCCAGGUGUAGCGGUGAAAUGCGUAGAUAUCUGGAGGAACACCGGUGGCGAAGGCGGCAUCCUGGCCAACACUGACGCUGGAGGAG
rnacentral:rRNA from 1 species